UGGGGAAUAUUGCACAAUGGGCGCAAGCCUGAUGCAGCCAUGCCGCGUGUAUGAAGAAGGCCUUCGGGUUGUAAAGUACUUUCAGCGAGGAGGAAGGCGUUGUGGUUAAUAACCGCAGCGAUUGAUGUUACUCGCAGAAGAAGCACCGGCUAACUCCGUGCCAGCAGCCGCGGUAAUACGGAGGGUGCAAGCGUUAAUCGGAAUUACUGGGCGUAAAGCGCACGCAGGCGGUCUGUCAAGUCGGAUGUGAAAUCCCCGGGCUCAACCUGGGAACUGCAUCCGAAACUGGCAGGCUAGAGUCUUGUAGAGGGGGGUAGAAUUCCAGGUGUAGCGGUGAAAUGCGUAGAGAUCUGGAGGAAUACCGGUGGCGAAGGCGGCCCCCUGGACAAAGACUGACGCUCAGGUGCGAAAGCGUGGGGAGCAAACA
rnacentral:rRNA from 1 species